rnacentral:lncRNA from 1 species
AUGUCUACUUCUCAAUGCAACUCUAGGGCCAAAUGUAAGGACACAUUUUUGGAAUGGAGAGACUUGUACCUAGAUUUGGCUCUGGUAACCAAGAAACUUUGCUGCCGAAUGACCUUCUCCUGCUCCUUGGGAGCCUGGCCAGUUCCCAGGGAGGAGGAUAAAGGAAUGUUUUCUGAUAAACAGGUGAGAUGGGGUCAGAAGCUGCAGUUCCCUCCCUCUGGCUCCUCUGGUCUGCUUGCAUGCUCAGGGGUUGGGCACUCCCAGAACAGCCACCAGCUGAGUUGCAGCUGCCCAUGACAGGUAUUGACUUCCCACUGGCAGGGGAGGUGGGGGAAAGGCUUGCUUAGGGGAUCAGCAUUGCUGCCUCCAAGCAGCAGUAGUGCAACUCGUGCUCUAACGAGCCCCGUCUUUCCUGAGAAACCACCAGCACUUCAGCUAGUGUUUUCAUCCAAAACAGGCAAACAGUGAUUAACUUGUUGGGUUCCUGAACCAGGACCCCGACACGUCGAGAUGCGCACCCCAAAGACUCAGAUUCCAAACCAGUAGAUGCAACACGCAAGAGGAUUUAUUCAACGUCUGCGCAGACGGGCCUCUCGACAGCACAAAGCCAUCCCAAGAAGAAGCCCCGAACAGUUGUUAAGGAGCAUUUUUAAAGGGAAAAACCACACAAUUUACUUAAUACACACAAUUUACACACUAAUUGGAGGGUUUAAAUGAUACACACACGAUUCACACACUGGUUGGAGGAUUUAAAUGAGGGGGUUAGUGGCAGGAAAAUUUUUCUGGCUAUUGCAGGAGUCACUUUAAGACUUUAGGGUGGGAUAUCUGCUGCUCGCCAGAAGGUGCUCUGCAACUAGGAGUUAUCGCAAAGCCUCAAGGCGGGGUUCCUGCUGGGAACCAUGUCUCAAGUGACAGCUGGUGCCUAGGGCUCUUUCUAGGAACUAGCACUCUAAGUGGGGCAAAGGUUACUUCUAAGAAUUAACGCACUAAGUAGGACAAAGGUUACUUCAUCUGGGACGGAGGGGAAUGGCUCUUCAAACUUAGAUGGUUUUUCUUACAUCUUAGCACUGGGAGCUUUCAGAAAAAGCAUGGAUUGAUUUCUUUUGCUGUUUCUUGCUUUGAGAAUGUGGUGUUAGUGCUAAUGGAUGAGAAGGAUUUUUGCAGAGAGCCAGUUCUAAGUUUCUAAGUUGUCUGUAUUUACAUAUUUUUUUAAGGUUGAAACUUUAAAAGGUGUUUUUUUUUUUUAUAGACUGAUUCCAAAGGCACUGAGAAUUUUGCUUUGCCUCAGGGUCUUUGA